rnacentral:rRNA from 1 species
UGCGUAGGCGGACAAUUAAGUCAGAUGUGAAAUCCCAGGGCUCAACCUUGGGGCUGCAUUUGAUACUGGUUGUCUAGAGUGCAGGAGAGGAGAGUGGAAUUCCUAGUGUAGCGGUGAAAUGCGUAGAUAUUAGGAAGAACACCAGUGGCGAAGGCGACUCUCUGGACUGUAACUGACGCUGAGGCACGAAAGCGUGGGGAGCGAACA